GAUGAACGCUGGCGGCGUGCCUAAUACAUGCAAGUCGAGCGAACAGACGAGGAGCUUGCUCCUCUGACGUUAGCGGCGGACGGGUGAGUAACACGUGGAUAACCUACCUAUAAGACUGGGAUAACUUCGGGAAACCGGAGCUAAUACCGGAUAAUAUAUUGAACCGCAUGGUUCAAUAGUGAAAGACGGUUUUGCUGUCACUUAUAGAUGGAUCCGCGCCGCAUUAGCUAGUUGGUAAGGUAACGGCUUACCAAGGCAACGAUGCGUAGCCGACCUGAGAGGGUGAUCGGCCACACUGGAACUGAGACACGGUCCAGACUCCUACGGGAGGCAGCAGUAGGGAAUCUUCCGCAAUGGGCGAAAGCUUGACGGAGCAACGCCGCGUGAGUGAUGAAGGUCUUCGGAUCGUAAAUCUCUGUUAUUAGGGAAGAACAAAUGUGUAAGUAACUAUGCACGUCUUGACGGUACCUAAUCAGAGAGCCACGGCUAACUACGUG
rnacentral:rRNA from 1 species